UACAAGCUACAUUGUUCGUAUUAAUAUAAGUUUUAACCUCUAAUGUUGGAAUAGGGAGUUUUACAUCGAAAUUGGAAUGCCGAGCCGCCGUUGAAGCGGAAGGCAGGAAGUUUUCUGCGAACACCCACUUUGCGAAGUGGUGGUUUAAAACUUUUUAUUACAAGAUACGGCAAAUGUGGCCUGUAU
rnacentral:other from 20 species